GCUCUGCUCUGCGCCUGGGCAGGGUAUAACUGCUGGGCACUGCCCGCCUUGGGGUGUCCGCCUGAGAGCUCGCCCCCGCCUCAGAACUCUCGCCAGCCUGGAUAGAUUCUGCAGGAGGAGCCCCUGAGGACGGCUUCCCACCAUUAUGCAGGCUCAAUUGCCCUUAACGACCCUCUGACGGCCUUUGGAAGAGAUCGAGUGGACAAGCAGCUGCACCGGCCUUGUUUUCAGCCAGCCUCGUUCACCUCAUCCGCUGCUCUAGAGACUUGACAACUGAACCUAGGAUACUUACUAAGAACAGCAUUAUCAUGAAGAGGUGACACGCAUGAUGUACACGUUUCUCUUGCGUGAAGACGAUCAUCCUGACUUCUAACAAGGAACUCAGGACCCCAGCAAAACAACCUAUUCUGUCUAAUAUCUUAGGAGAGGGCAAACAUUACAUAUAAAGCUUUGACCUUGUCCAUAAUGAAAUCCUCCAGGAGAUGGGAAAGGCAGGCUGUAAUCACUGUAUGUACCUUAGCUUUCCAUCAGGAAUUCCAGUAUGAUUGAUCCAUAACCCAUGAUAAAGGUCACAGUACCACCAAUCAGUGGAAGUGGGUGCCCAUUUUGAGCUUAAAUUUCUG